AGCGAACGCUGGCGGCAGGCCUAACACAUGCAAGUCGAACGAACCCUUCGGGGUUAGUGGCGGACGGGUGAGUAACACGUGGGAACGUGCCUUUAGGUUCGGAAUAACUCAGGGAAACUUGUGCUAAUACCGAAUGUGCCCUUCGGGGGAAAGAUUUAUCGCCUUUAGAGCGGCCCGCGUCUGAUUAGCUAGUUGGUGAGGUAAUGGCUCACCAAGGCUACGAUCAGUAGCUGGUCUGAGAGGAUGACCAGCCACGUUGGGACUGAGACACGGCCCAAACUCCUACGGGAGGCAGCAGUGGGGAAUCUUGCGCAAUGGGCGAAAGCCUGACGCAGCCAUGCCGCGUGGAUGAUGAAGGUCUUAGGAUUGUAAAAUCCUUUCCCCGGUGAAGAUAAUGACUGUAGCCGGAGAAGAAGCCCCGGCUAACUUCGUGCCAGCCGCCGCGGUAAAAC
rnacentral:rRNA from 1 species